rnacentral:rRNA from 1 species
AUUGAACGCUGGCGGCAUGCCUUACACAUGCAAGUCGAACGGCAGCACGGGGCAACCUGGUGGCGAGUGGCGAACGGGUGAGUAAUGCAUCGGAACGUACCUUUCAGUGGGGGAUAACGUAGCGAAAGUUACGCUAAUACCGCAUAUUCUGUGAGCAGGAAAGCAGGGGAUCGCAAGACCUUGCGCUGAUUGAGCGGCCGAUGUCAGAUUAGCUAGUUGGUGAGGUAAAGGCUCACCAAGGCGACGAUCUGUAGCGGGUCUGAGAGGAUGAUCCGCCACACUGGAACUGAGACACGGUCCAGACUCCUACGGGAGGCAGCAGUGGGGAAUUUUGGACAAUGGGGGCAACCCUGAUCCAGCCAUGCCGCGUGAGUGAAGAAGGCCUUCGGGUUGUAAAGCUCUUUCGGCCGGGAAGAAAUCGCACGGGCUAAUACCCUGUGUGGAUGACGGUACCGGAAUAAGAAGCACCGGCUAACUACGUGCCAGCAGCCGCCGCCGUAA